CAUAAUCAUCAUCCCAGCACAACUGCGCCGGAUCCCAUCAGAACUCCGAAGUUAAGCGUGCUUGGGCGAGAGUGGUGCCUGGCUGGGC
rnacentral:rRNA from 1 species